rnacentral:rRNA from 1 species
UACGUAGGGGGCUAGCGUUGUCCGGAAUCAUUGGGCGUAAAGAGCGUGUAGGCGGUCCGGUAAGUCCGCUGUGAAAGUCGGGGGCUCAACCCUCGAAUGCCGGUGGAUACUGUCGGGCUAGAGUGCGGAAGAGGCGAGUGGAAUUCCUGGUGUAGCGGUGAAAUGCGCAGAUAUCAGGAGGAACACCGGUGGCGAAGGCGGCUCUCUGGAACGCAACUGACGCUGAGACGCGAAAGCGUGGGGAGCAAACAGG